rnacentral:rRNA from 1 species
GAUGAACGCUGGCGGCGUGCUUAACACAUGCAAGUCGAACGGUGAAGGCGGAGCUUGCUCUGCUGGAUCAGUGGCGAACGGGUGAGUAACACGUGAGCAAUCUGCCCCUGACUCUGGGAUAAGCGCUGGAAACGGCGUCUAAUACUGGAUACGAGCUGCGAAGGCAUCUUCAGCAGCUGGAAAGAACUUCGGUCAGGGAUGAGCUCGCGGCCUAUCAGCUUGUUGGUGAGGUAACGGCUCACCAAGGCGUCGACGGGUAGCCGGCCUGAGAGGGUGACCGGCCACACUGGGACUGAGACACGGCCCAGACUCCUACGGGAGGCAACAGUGGGGAAUAUUGCACAAUGGGCGAAAGCCUGAUGCAGCAACGCCGCGUGAGGGACGACGGCCUUCGGGUUGUAAACCUCUUUUAGCAGGGAAGAAGCGAAAGUGACGGUACCUGCAGAAAAAGCGCCGGCUAACUACGUG